AUUUUUUCGUCUGCCGACGUUAAGUUUGAAUCACUCGGGAAUCGCGAUUAUAUGAAAUUUGAACAGAACUACAGUGGUACAGAGUUCUAUUCAUACAUAAUUUUAGAACAUAAUCACCAUGGAUAAGUGUAUUCUUUUUAGCAAAACAUCCAAUGUAUCGCCUCGCCGCCACAUUACGUUAAUUUUCAUUUGUAAAUAUAGAUUUCCAAAAAAUCAAUGAAAUAAAGACUAAAAAUCUUCGAAUUAAAUGAUUAUCCCAAUUUCUACCUGGCAUAGAAUCUGCGGCAAUCAUUUCUCAAUUAGUGAUUGUAAACAAUGCUCAGUAAAUUAGUAAACACGGUCAGAGGCUGUCUCAAAACAUAAUCCAAACCACUUGUCUGGGAUAGAGAAGUAAAAUAAAUUUUAGUUAUUUACGGCAACAUCGGUACUACUCUGAGCACGACUAGGAAAUCGCAUCUAAGAGAAAACUUUGUUUCUCCAACGAUGGGUUAGCAGAAAAUGAACAGACGAAUAAAGGGUUUCGAGGACUUACAGUUGAUGAUUUUGAUUAGCCCAGAAAAGCCUUACAUACUGAUUAAUGUCUAAUUCACACACACUUAUUUCAUAGAGUGGAUUAUACUUAUUAUUGUUUUCGAAAUUGAAAUAAUAUAUUAUGUACCACAUACAAGGAACUAAGAAGUGGAGCCAGUGUAUUGACAAUUUUUCAGACGUUGACUUUCUUGAAGAUAAUUCUACAGACUCAGAUGAAGCCAUAUAAUAUUGGAGUGAAUUGUGCAACUCAAAGGUAAUACAAUUUUGCUGAGCAAGAAUUAAAUUUUAAUAAAGCAGAGAGCCUCAAAGAAACACAUAACUACUUUGGGCAUUGGUAUCUUUCUUAAAGGGAAAGUGCAUCUAGUUGGAUACGUUAAACAGGUCGUCAAACCCGUUCCCAUUUACAACGAGGAAAUACAAUCUUCAUUGUAAAAAAGAGUAUGCAAUUACCAAAAAGAUUCAGUGGUUGUUAUUAAAAUACUUCAACUAUCGACAAUGGACAUAAUUGAUGAAGACUUAUAUUAUAUUGUGAUAGAUAUAGAUUUCCAAAAAAUCAAUGAAAUAAAGACUAAAAAUCUUCGAAUUAAAUGAUUAUCCCAAUUUCUACCUGGCAUAGAAUCUGCGGCAAUCAUUUCUCAAUUAGUGAUUGUAAACAAUGCUCAGUAAAUUAGUAAACACGGUCAGAGGCUGUCUCAAAACAUAAUCCAAACCACUUGUCUGGGAUAGAGAAGUAAAAUAAAUUUUAGUUAUUUACGGCAACAUCGGUACUACUCUGAGCACGACUAGGAAAUCGCAUCUAAGAGAAAACUUUGUUUCUCCAACGAUGGGUUAGCAGAAAAUGAACAGACGAAUAAAGGGUUUCGAGGACUUACAGUUGAUGAUUUUGAUUAGCCCAGAAAAGCCUUACAUACUGAUUAAUGUCUAAUUCACACACACUUAUUUCAUAGAGUGGAUUAUACUUAUUAUUGUUUUCGAAAUUGAAAUAAUAUAUUAUGUACCACAUACAAGGAACUAAGAAGUGGAGCCAGUGUAUUGACAAUUUUUCAGACGUUGACUUUCUUGAAGAUAAUUCUACAGACUCAGAUGAAGCCAUAUAAUAUUGGAGUGAAUUGUGCAACUCAAAGGUAAUACAAUUUUGCUGAGCAAGAAUUAAAUUUUAAUAAAGCAGAGAGCCUCAAAGAAACACAUAACUACUUUGGGCAUUGGUAUCUUUCUUAAAGGGAAAGUGCAUCUAGUUGGAUACGUUAAACAGGUCGUCAAACCCGUUCCCAUUUACAACGAGGAAAUACAAUCUUCAUUGUAAAAAAGAGUAUGCAAUUACCAAAAAGAUUCAGUGGUUGUUAUUAAAAUACUUCAACUAUCGACAAUGGACAUAAUUGAUGAAGACUUAUAUUAUAUUGUGAUAGAUAUAGAUUUCCAAAAAAUCAAUGAAAUAAAGACUAAAAAUCUUCGAAUUAAAUGAUUAUCCCAAUUUCUACCUGGCAUAGAAUCUGCGGCAAUCAUUUCUCAAUUAGUGAUUGUAAACAAUGCUCAGUAAAUUAGUAAACACGGUCAGAGGCUGUCUCAAAACAUAAUCCAAACCACUUGUCUGGGAUAGAGAAGUAAAAUAAAUUUUAGUUAUUUACGGCAACAUCGGUACUACUCUGAGCACGACUAGGAAAUCGCAUCUAAGAGAAAACUUUGUUUCUCCAACGAUGGGUUAGCAGAAAAUGAACAGACGAAUAAAGGGUUUCGAGGACUUACAGUUGAUGAUUUUGAUUAGCCCAGAAAAGCCUUACAUACUGAUUAAUGUCUAAUUCACACACACUUAUUUCAUAGAGUGGAUUAUACUUAUUAUUGUUUUCGAAAUUGAAAUAAUAUAUUAUGUACCACAUACAAGGAACUAAGAAGUGGAGCCAGUGUAUUGACAAUUUUUCAGACGUUGACUUUCUUGAAGAUAAUUCUACAGACUCAGAUGAAGCCAUAUAAUAUUGGAGUGAAUUGUGCAACUCAAAGGUAAUACAAUUUUGCUGAGCAAGAAUUAAAUUUUAAUAAAGCAGAGAGCCUCAAAGAAACACAUAACUACUUUGGGCAUUGGUAUCUUUCUUAAAGGGAAAGUGCAUCUAGUUGGAUACGUUAAACAGGUCGUCAAACCCGUUCCCAUUUACAACGAGGAAAUACAAUCUUCAUUGUAAAAAAGAGUAUGCAAUUACCAAAAAGAUUCAGUGGUUGUUAUUAAAAUACUUCAACUAUCGACAAUGGACAUAAUUGAUGAAGACUUAUAUUAUAUUGUGAUAGAUAUAGAUUUCCAAAAAAUCAAUGAAAUAAAGACUAAAAAUCUUCGAAUUAAAUGAUUAUCCCAAUUUCUACCUGGCAUAGAAUCUGCGGCAAUCAUUUCUCAAUUAGUGAUUGUAAACAAUGCUCAGUAAAUUAGUAAACACGGUCAGAGGCUGUCUCAAAACAUAAUCCAAACCACUUGUCUGGGAUAGAGAAGUAAAAUAAAUUUUAGUUAUUUACGGCAACAUCGGUACUACUCUGAGCACGACUAGGAAAUCGCAUCUAAGAGAAAACUUUGUUUCUCCAACGAUGGGUUAGCAGAAAAUGAACAGACGAAUAAAGGGUUUCGAGGACUUACAGUUGAUGAUUUUGAUUAGCCCAGAAAAGCCUUACAUACUGAUUAAUGUCUAAUUCACACACACUUAUUUCAUAGAGUGGAUUAUACUUAUUAUUGUUUUCGAAAUUGAAAUAAUAUAUUAUGUACCACAUACAAGGAACUAAGAAGUGGAGCCAGUGUAUUGACAAUUUUUCAGACGUUGACUUUCUUGAAGAUAAUUCUACAGACUCAGAUGAAGCCAUAUAAUAUUGGAGUGAAUUGUGCAACUCAAAGGUAAUACAAUUUUGCUGAGCAAGAAUUAAAUUUUAAUAAAGCAGAGAGCCUCAAAGAAACACAUAACUACUUUGGGCAUUGGUAUCUUUCUUAAAGGGAAAGUGCAUCUAGUUGGAUACGUUAAACAGGUCGUCAAACCCGUUCCCAUUUACAACGAGGAAAUACAAUCUUCAUUGUAAAAAAGAGUAUGCAAUUACCAAAAAGAUUCAGUGGUUGUUAUUAAAAUACUUCAACUAUCGACAAUGGACAUAAUUGAUGAAGACUUAUAUUAUAUUGUGAUAGAUAUAGAUUUCCAAAAAAUCAAUGAAAUAAAGACUAAAAAUCUUCGAAUUAAAUGAUUAUCCCAAUUUCUACCUGGCAUAGAAUCUGCGGCAAUCAUUUCUCAAUUAGUGAUUGUAAACAAUGCUCAGUAAAUUAGUAAACACGGUCAGAGGCUGUCUCAAAACAUAAUCCAAACCACUUGUCUGGGAUAGAGAAGUAAAAUAAAUUUUAGUUAUUUACGGCAACAUCGGUACUACUCUGAGCACGACUAGGAAAUCGCAUCUAAGAGAAAACUUUGUUUCUCCAACGAUGGGUUAGCAGAAAAUGAACAGACGAAUAAAGGGUUUCGAGGACUUACAGUUGAUGAUUUUGAUUAGCCCAGAAAAGCCUUACAUACUGAUUAAUGUCUAAUUCACACACACUUAUUUCAUAGAGUGGAUUAUACUUAUUAUUGUUUUCGAAAUUGAAAUAAUAUAUUAUGUACCACAUACAAGGAACUAAGAAGUGGAGCCAGUGUAUUGACAAUUUUUCAGACGUUGACUUUCUUGAAGAUAAUUCUACAGACUCAGAUGAAGCCAUAUAAUAUUGGAGUGAAUUGUGCAACUCAAAGGUAAUACAAUUUUGCUGAGCAAGAAUUAAAUUUUAAUAAAGCAGAGAGCCUCAAAGAAACACAUAACUACUUUGGGCAUUGGUAUCUUUCUUAAAGGGAAAGUGCAUCUAGUUGGAUACGUUAAACAGGUCGUCAAACCCGUUCCCAUUUACAACGAGGAAAUACAAUCUUCAUUGUAAAAAAGAGUAUGCAAUUACCAAAAAGAUUCAGUGGUUGUUAUUAAAAUACUUCAACUAUCGACAAUGGACAUAAUUGAUGAAGACUUAUAUUAUAUUGUGAUAGGUACCUAUUUCCUUUAAUUUGUGUACUUAUUUUUCCUAUGUUUCCCCCACCACCCAUCAGAAAGUAAUUAGUUACUUUAUUUAACCAAAAAAAAACUAUACCUAUACACUGUGCAGUUAUGUUUGUGAAUAAAAUUAUUUUGUCAAUGACCAAUUUAUGAAAACUCUAUUUUCAAAUUGUAUAACAAAAAAGAAAAGUAGGUAGGUUACGUUAGCUUUGUACCUGCUUAAAAUCAUUAUAAGUUAUACUAUCAUACUUUUCAUAUUUGUCGUAUUGAUAGUGUAUAUGUAUAUUUAA